ACGCUGGCGGCACGCCUAACACAUGCAAGUCGAACGAAGUAGCAAUACUUAGUGGCAGACGGGUGAGUAACAUGUAGGUAUCUACCCUUUGGCCUGGAAUAACACGAGGAAACUUGUGCUAAUACCGGAUAAGUCUUUACGGAGAAAGCUUUAUGCACCAUUGGAUGAGCCUGCACUUGAUUAGUUUGUUGGUGGGGUAAUGGCCUACCAAGACUGUGAUCAAUAGCUGAUUUGAGAGGAUGAUCAGCCACAUUGGGACUGAGACACGGCCCAAACUCCUACGGGAGGCAGCAGUGGGGAAUCUUGCACAAUGGAGGAAACUCUGAUGCAGCGAUGCCGCGUGAGUGAAGAAGGCCCUUGGGUUGUAAAGCUCUUUCGUCGGGGAAGAAAAUGACUGUACCCGAAUAAGAAGGUCCGGCUAACUUCGUGCCAGCAGCCGCGGUAAUACGAAGGGACCUAGCGUAGUUCGGAAUUACUGGGCUUAAAGAGUUCGUAGGUGGUUGAAAAAGUUAGUGGUGAAAUCCCAGAGCUUAACUCUGGAACUGCCAUUAAAACUUUUCAGCUAGAGUAUGAUAGAGGAAAGCAGAAUUUCUAGUGUAGAGGUGAAAUUCGUAGAUAUUAGAAAGAAUACCAAUUGCGAAGGCAGCUUUCUGGAUCAUUACUGACACUGAGGAACGAAAGCAUGGGUAGCGAAGAGGAUUAGAUACCCUCGUAGUCCAUGCCGUAAACGAUGUGUGUUAGACGUUGGAAAUUUAUUUUCAGUGUCGCAGCGAAAGCGAUAAACACACCGCCUGGGGAGUACGACCGCAAGGUUAAAACUCAAAUGAAUUGACGGGGACCCGCACAAGUAGUGGAGCAUGUGGUUUAAUUCGAAGAUACGCGCAGAACCUUACCAACACUUGACAUGUUCGUCGCGACUCUAAGAGAUUAGAGUUUUCGGUUCGGCCGGACGAAACACAGGUGCUGCAUGGCUGUCGUCAGCUCGUGUCGUGAGAUGUUGGGUUAAGUCCCGCAACGAGCGCAACCCUCACUUUUAGUUGCCAUCAUUAAGUUGGGCACUCUGAAAGAACUGCCUGUGAUAAGCUGGAGGAAGGUGGGGAUGACGUCAAGUCCUCAUGGCCCUUACGUGUUGGGCUACACACGUGCUACAAUGGUAUCUACAACAGGAAGCAAGACUGCGAGGUCAAGCAAAUCCUUAAAAGAUACCUCAGUUCGGAUUGCACUCUGCAACUCGAGUGCAUGAAGCUGGAAUUACUAGUAAUCGUCGGUCAGCAUACGGCGGUGAAUACGUUCCCGGGCCUUGUACACACCGCCCGUCACACCAUGGGAGUUGGCUUU
rnacentral:rRNA from 1 species